UUCUUUUAUUUAAAAUUUGGUAUCACUUUACUGACUUCUAUAAGAAAAUAUGUAUGUCAGUCUUUGAUUCAUGUUGCACUGAAACACUAGGUCACUUCAGAGAAAACAAAUUUCUUUAUAAACUCAACUAUCCAUUUCAUGAUUGUGAUGUGAAUUAUUAAUAUUUUAGGUGCUCUUUAAUGUUUACACUUUUCAUAAAUUUAUCUACAAAGGCAUUUACAUAAAUUUUCUUUUAGAUUUAUUCAUAGAUAAAGAGUAAGUUUGAUAUCAAAUUCUUGGAUAGGCUUUUGCAAGGAAGACUCCUCCCCACAUGGCUUCAGUGCAAUGCUGUCACACUUAGGGUGUGUUGGGGAGCGUGAAGCAGUCUAAUGUUUGUUCAGGUGCAGGUAUUGAGGCAAGAAUGUCCAAAGACAAAUGAGUACAUUUCUUUUCUGUCUGAAGUGAUUCACUUAGAAAGAUAAGGGACUGAUGCACUGUAAUGUUUGUGAGGCAGACAGAGAAGGAGGUGUGGGAAGGAGAGGUGAGAACUCAGCAGAGGGUCACAGGCUUGUUCACCUGGAAGCAGAGGACAGACACGGCUUCCCUCUCCCCUCUUCUUGUCCCCAUCCAGCUGGAAAGUCCUCCAGUCCCCAGGGGGAGGCUGUCUUCUUGGCAGAGAGGUGAAUAUGAUUCUUCUUUCCUUCCAGGUGUUUGACUUUGAACUGACUCCAGAAGACAUGAAAGCAAUCGAUGGCAUCAAUAGAAAUAUAAGAUAUUACAAAUUUCUACUUGGUGUCAGUCACCCUGAAUAUCCAUUUCUUGAAGAAUAUUGAUUCUCGGGUCUCACUGUGGUUCUUCAAGAAUUUGUUGCUUCUGGGGCUGUGAAGAGGAUUUUUGUAAGUGGUGAAGGUGCUUGAAAGAAGUGUCUGAAGUUUCAAAAAUGCCUUGUGAAAAAAAAUAAAGUUUAUGAAACAAUUAAAA